UGUUUUCUCUGCUGUUGAACUGAAGGUCAAAGCAAAAUUGUUCUGUCUGGAGUCGUACCACAUCAGUGGCAUUGAGGGACGUCCAGUAACUCUGCAGUGUCCUAAUUCAGGACAACAACAUGAUAACAAGAAGUUCCUCUGUAAAGGAGACCAACACAACAACUGUACAGACAUGAUGGAGAACCAAACAAAGUUCAAGCUGCUCAAUGUCUCCUCCAUCUGUUUCUCUGUGAUCAUCACUGAACUGGAAGCAGCUGAUGCAGGAACAUACUACUGUGGUUCAGACUCUCAGCUGAGAUUCAUAAAGAUACAGCUGGCAGUCGUCUCACUGCAUGAAACCAGCUCUGCUGAACAUUUGACAUCACAGCCACCAUCAUAUAAUCCUGAUCUGACCUUAUUUUACAUUCUGCGUGUCGUCCUGUUUCUGCUGUGGAUCCUGCCGUUUGUCCUUCUGAUGAUUCUUCAAAGAAAAUUGAAGCCACAAGGUGAAUUUAAUCAGAACAUCAACCCACAA